AAGAAACAAAGAGUUCCCUUAUGGCUGGUGGUAUGGUGUUGUAGGCCACUUGGAAACGUGUGAUGGAAAUGAGUAUUACUGUCGUUGUCAUGAAAAUGAUACAGUAGUGCUAGAGUUCAACCAGUAUACUCAUGGAUCGCGGUGGAGGACAACACACAUUGAUAGGAAAGAUCAUCGCGAGGAAGGGAAUGAGGCUGAUGGAUUUUAUGGAGGAAUCCGGAAACUUCAUAGCAAUGAAGAGAUUUCUAUGUGGAGACGCCUGUGGCCAUCCGAUGUCUUGGAGUAAGUUGCAAGCUCACCAUUGUUGGCAAAAACCACAUUUGUACCUUCAGAAUGUGAGGAAGUUAACACCUGAACUUGGAAGUAAGCCAUUUUCAGUAUACCACUUCGACUUCUAUUGUUUUGUGAUCAGUGGGGGGAGUUAUUUCGACACUGAUCCUACUUGUUUGUAAAAUGAUUACCACGUUUACAGAUCGAUUUGUUUAGUAAAAUCUAUUAAAGCUCUAGUUAACUUCUUGUACUAAGGAAUUAGAUUGUUGAUCCACCUUAAUGGUUUCUGUUGAUCAGUGAAAGGAAAGAAGCCUGGUUAUUGGAAUACUUAAUAAGUUUAUGUUCUA
rnacentral:misc_RNA from 1 species